GGGUCAAUGAUAUGAGGACUUUAUAUUGUCUUGAGGAGUGGUGAUGACUUAAAUAUCGUAUACAAUGGCAUGAUGCUGAGGCCC
rnacentral:snoRNA from 1 species